UGAUAAUUCUUGGUAAUUUGACCUGUAUUUU
rnacentral:piRNA from 1 species